rnacentral:rRNA from 1 species
GAACUGAAGAGUUUGAUCCUGGCUCAGAUUGAACGCUGGCGGGAUGCUUUACACAUGCAAGUCGGACGGCAGCACGGGCUUCGGCCUGGUGGCGAGUGGCGAACGGGUGAGUAAUGUAUCGGAACGUGCCCAGUAGCGGGGGAUAACUACGCGAAAGCGUGGCUAAUACCGCAUACGCCCUACGGGGGAAAGCGGGGGACCUUCGGGCCUCGCACUAUUGGAGCGGCCGAUAUCGGAUUAGCUAGUUGGUGGGGUAACGGCCUACCAAGGCGACGAUCCGUAGCUGGUUUGAGAGGACGACCAGCCACACUGGGACUGAGACACGGCCCAGACUCCUACGGGAGGCAGCAGUGGGGAAUUUUGGACAAUGGGGGCAACCCUGAUCCAGCCAUCCCGCGUGUGCGAUGAAGGCCUUCGGGUUGUAAAGCACUUUUGGCAGGAAAGAAACGGCACGGGCUAAUAUCCUGUGCAACUGACGGUACCUGCAGAAUAAGCACCGGCUAACUACGUGCCAGCAGCCGCGGUAAUACGUAGGGUGCAAGCGUUAAUCGGAAUUACUGGGCGUAAAGCGUGCGCAGGCGGUUCGGAAAGAAAGAUGUGAAAUCCCAGGGCUUAACCUUGGAACUGCAUUUUUAACUACCGGGCUAGAGUGUGUCAGAGGGGGUGGAAUUCCGCGUGUAGCAGUGAAAUGCGUAGAUAUGCGGAGGAACACCGAUGGCGAAGGCAGCCUCCUGGGAUAACACUGACGCUCAUGCACGAAAGUGUGGGGAGCAAACAGGAUUAGAUACCCUGGUAGUCCACGCCCUAAACGAUGUCAACUAGCUGUUGGGGCCUUCGGGCCUUGGUAGCGCAGCUAACGCGUGAAGUUGACCGCCUGGGGAGUACGGUCGCAAGAUUAAAACUCAAAGGAAUUGACGGGGACCCGCACAAGCGGUGGAUGAUGUGGAUUAAUUCGAUGCAACGCGAAAAACCUUACCUACCCUUGACAUGUCUGGAAUCCCGAAGAGAUUUGGGAGUGCUCGCAAGAGAACCGGAACACAGGUGCUGCAUGGCUGUCGUCAGCUCGUGUCGUGAGAUGUUGGGUUAAGUCCCGCAACGAGCGCAACCCUUGUCAUUAGUUGCUACGAAAGGGCACUCUAAUGAGACUGCCGGUGACAAACCGGAGGAAGGUGGGGAUGACGUCAAGUCCUCAUGGCCCUUAUGGGUAGGGCUUCACACGUCAUACAAUGGUCGGGACAGAGGGUUGCCAACCCGCGAGGGGGAGCCAAUCCCAGAAACCCGGUCGUAGUCCGGAUCGCAGUCUGCAACUCGACUGCGUGAAGUCGGAAUCGCUAGUAAUCGCGGAUCAGCAUGUCGCGGUGAAUACGUUCCCGGGUCUUGUACACACCGCCCGUCACACCAUGGGAGUGGGUUUUACCAGAAGUAGUUAGCCUAACCGCAAGGGGGGCGAUUACCACGGUAGGAUUCAUGACUGGGGUGAAGUCGUAACAAGGUAGCCGUAUCGGAAGGUGCGGCUGGAUCACCUCCUUU